GGACAGACAAUGCCAGGCUCCUUAUGGUGGCAAAAAACCAGAAAUGGUUUGUGUGUGCUGGAAAGCAUUAAUCCUCCUCCCCCUCGAGUACAAACCCAAAAUCAGCCUGGGGCUGGAGCUCCCAGCUGUUGGAGGAGCAGCUGUGUAGUCUGGGCUGUGCUCCUUUGUGUUCCUCAGCCAGGUCAGUGAGAAGUGCUCCUGUAGCAGGGCUGCCCUGUUCUCCCUUGAGCAUGAUUUUGGAUGACUGUACCAUCCCAUACCUCGAGGAGCCCAUGAGGAUCAUUGCAGCACUGUCAGCUGCUGUUGGUAAAGAGAUCGUUGCUCUGCCAUUCCAGGGGCUGUGAGAGGACUUGGGAGAAGCUGAUGGGAUCCUUCAACAGAGACCAAGUUAAGGAAGGUUUUAAAGCUUUCAUGCAGAGAUACCCUUUGGUGCCUAAAGGAGGCUGCAGGAGUCCUCUGUUUGGAUGUUCAAGUUGGAAUAUGGGAUUUUGGUGGUUUUUUUCCCUAUGUUCUCAUGACUCAGCCUUAGGCUGUCUAGCUCAGAGAGAAGGAUUUUAUCAAGUCACUCAUCUUACUAAUUUCCUUGAAAUUUUUUGCUAGUUGCAUAUGUGCCCUGCAUUUUAACACUCUGCCAGUGUAAGGGGGCAGCAGGGUUGCACACAUUGUGUUUUGUCAGUCAGGGGUAACACAGUCCAGAGCUUUUACUGAGCUUCAUGGGUGUGUGGUGGUUCAGGUGUUCAAAGAAGCACUGGAAAUGCCUCUUUAAAUCCUUCUCCAGCUACUGGAAUAAAUCAUAAAUAAACUUAAA